rnacentral:rRNA from 1 species
GACGUAGGAUGCAAGCGUUGUCCGGAUUCAUUGGGCGUAAAGCGUUCGUAGGUGGUUUAUUAAGUCUGAUGUUAAAGAUCGGGGCUCAACCUCGGGAGUGCAUUGGAUACUGGUAGACUUGAGUAUGGUAGAGGCGAGUGGAAUUCCCAGUGUAGCGGUGAAAUGCGUAGAUAUUGGGAAGAACACCGGUGGCGUAAGCGACUCGCUGGGCCAUAACUGACACUGAGGAACGAAAGCCAGGGGAGCAAAU